rnacentral:lncRNA from 1 species
AAAUCAAUGUCAUAUCUUUAUUACUUAAUAGAAAUUCUGUACAAAAUAACUAAAAGAUAUUACACCAUAUGGCGACGACGAUCCUCCACAAUCCCUAGUUGACUGGGAGACGAUGGCCUAGAUCUCUCCAAACUCAUCUUCAUCAGAGUCUUCCUCCACUUCUGGAUGCACCUGUUCUUAACCUGGGGAGUUUAGCAAGGGUGAGCUCCCAUACGGUCAUCGCUCAACAAGUUGUGGGAAAUAGUGUAGUGUAAGGCUUACCAAAGAGAAUGAUUAAGGCUGAGCAUUGCUUUUAAUAAGUUGGUCAAAAUUUUAUUAGCAGUUACUAAGUAUAAGUAUAUACCAUCCCAGUUAAAUAAUUGAUCACAAUUAGUAAUAAAUCCCACAAUGCAAUGCAAUGCAUGUCAAAUUGAGUUUAGUUCCAUAAUUUACUCAUGUGAGGGUCCGAGCCGCUCUUGACCGUGAGCAUGGCUGAUAUACCAGUUUUAUACUCUGCAGAGGUUGCACAUCUUAACCCACAAGUCGUGUUACCCAUUUGCCACGGGGUCAUGAAUCCCAUACAUCUCUACCGAGGAGACGAGGCAGGGUAUCACUACGAGGCCUUUACAAAGUUCCACUAGCUUCAGAAAACCCGCUACAGUUUCAUGAGAAGAGCGAUACAGGAAUCCCUCGUCCAAAAAGCCAUCGCAGCAUGAUUGACCCGAGAACCUCCCUAUACCGGCAACUCCUCUACCGCCCUUGCCCCUUUCGGGUAAGGUAGUCCUCCACUAGCUUUCCUAAUUAGUUAGCCAAGGGCGUCCCAUUCCACCCCUAUGGUAGCACUGUUUUCUCGGGUGGUUCUCCAUGUUCCAGUUAACAAAAUGAUCUUAUCAUGAACAAUAAUAGAUAACCAACAAUAAUAAAUCAUAUUGGAACAUGGUCAUGAAUCAUAGUAUCAUUAGCCCAAAAACCAGGUAGAGCACUAGCAAGACUACCCAAUAAUUCAUUUGUACACAAGGUGCAGGGUAAACAAAUCUAGGUAACCUAUUAGGUCCCAUCAGCUUAACCUAACAGUGUCACGGUGAUUAAGAAUAAUGAACAUUAUUAGGUUAAAGAAUGUGAUCAAGGACACAACUUGCCUUUUUGGUGCAAACUCCAGGUACUUCUCCAAUUUGAUCUUCAGGUUCCUUGUCGUAACCUCGCUUCUAUCGUAGCAAAACAUAUAUAUAGGCAAACAAUGAACAAAAAUAACAUUACAUCAAACAUGAGAACAAACUGCAUAAGAAUAUUCUACGCGUCGAGACGAGACCGUGGGUUCGAGAACCACUAAAAUCGGAGCUAAAACGUGGAAGAUGUAAAUUAAACAAGUUUUAGCAAUUAUUUUCAUACUAAAAAUUGAUUUAUAUAUUCAAUUUACCAAUAUUUAAUUACUGUUGGACGACUAGAUAUAUUUUUAAAUAAGUUCAGGGUGUAUUCUGUAAAUUCCGGGACCUAGAUUCUAUUCCCAUUCGAAACAGGGGGAGGAUGAGUCGUAAGGGGAAAAAGAAAAAAUGGCGCUCGGUCCCCUGGGCCGGUUCUUCUUCCUCCAGCGCCCUUCCCUCCCCUUCGCUUGGUUCGCAGUGUCGUGUGGCGCGGUCUCCUGCUGUUGGGCCGCUUCCUUCGUGCCUCUCCUUGGCCCAGGGAUACAGUAUCCCGGCUCAGGCGCCGAAGCGGUCCCUGGAUUGGCGUCCUUCUUGGAUCGGAUGGAAUCAAGGCGUCACGCCGCUCCCUUCUCGCCUGCUUCCCCUCACGCGUGAGUCGUCUCGUUCGCUGUCUUCUCCGCCCGUAAACCCCUCUCCAUCGUUAGGGUUUCCUCCGGAUUUUGUUGGUGCGUAUUCUUUUCCUCACUGCGCCGCCUUUCUCUCGCACCUCUGGUCUCUCCCGUCUUCGGUGAGAUCUAGUUUUGGCGGAGGUUGGUGCGUUUCGCCUUUUCGGCCGCCGGUGGUUGAGGAGGAGUGGCCGCUUCUGGGGUCUGGCGGUUUUCGAAGUCCUUCGAAAAUCUCUACUAUGGAUCCGAAAGGAAAGAAUCCUCAGAACUCCCAAUGGGAUCGUUGGGGUCCGAUGGAGAAGCCGCAAGGUUCUCAUUCUUGGAACAGACCAAGAAACCUAAGCUGGAAGCUGAAGCCGAACGUUGGCAAAUCUGAACAGCAGGAGGGGGUGUUGUCCCCCAAUCCUGGUGAGGGAUCUCAACCAGGUAACCCAGCGGUCUCUCCUGUUCCUUUGAAGAAAGAUCUUGAUCUUGUUCGUCCUGCGUUCUGUCAGAAAUGUGGUGCUGGAGGUCAUCAUGCCAGACAGUGUUUUAACGCUUUGUGGUGUGAUAUUUGCCGUAAGGAAACACAUGUCACAGCCCGCUGUGUUCUUCCUAGGCAGAACAAACCCACCAUGCCCAUUGUUGGUUUGGCUGCUGAUGGAUUAGGGUUUUAUCUGUCUCAUUUCGCUAAACCUUUGAUCAAAAAACCAAAGAGGGUUUUUAUCGGUCUGGUUAAAGUGAUUGAGGGAUUAGUCUCGGCUGAAUAUCUUGAGAGGGAUUUCAGUUUUCACUUCCCUUGGAACAAGAGGUGGAAAGCUACUAAGUGCCAUUCGGGGUUUCUGAUGCAGUUCCCCUCCCAAGAACGUCUUGAGGAAAUGAUAAGCUUCCCGGAGCUUAAAAUGAAGAUGUCUGGGGCCAAGAUUGCUGUUGUGCCUUGGAGUUCUAGGGCCAAACCUAAAUCCAGGCUUCAUACUGUGUGGGUUAUUGCUGAAAAUGUUCCUGAGGAAUUGCAGAACUACCAGUCUAUCUGUGAAAUUGGUUCAAUGAUUGGUGCAGUUGAGGAAGUUGACCUUAUGUCCCUGGAUUCAGAUGACAUUGUGAGAUUUAAAAUUCACAUUAAAAGUGUGGCGAUGAUUCCCCCAGUGGUGGAAGUGGCUGUCAAGCCUUUUCUCUAUGAUAUCUUCUUUAGAAUUGAAUCUAUUUGUGAUGAAGGAUGGAAUGAUGAUUCUGUGAAUUUGGGCAAGAGAGCCUCUGUUCAAAUUCAUGGGUCUAAUGAUCCACUUUUUGAUAAAUCUGGGAAAAAACCCAAGAACUUGGAUGACGUUAACCUUGAAGACGACCCUAAUCAUAACCUUAAAAUUGGGGAGUCCUCUUCUCAAGGCAAAGAGUUUGCCAAAAUGUCUGAUCCUACCCUUGUGUCUGCUAAAGAUUUGUCAGAUGAAGAGCAGAAAUUGGAGAAUCUUUCGGAUGAGAAAGUGGAUUUUGAUCCAAAUGAAGAUGACUUGCUUAGCUCUCAAGAACUGGAAGAAUUCGCUAAGGAUAUGGAGGAAGACCAAACUGAUUUUCAAUCUAGAAUUGAUGCAAUGAUCUCGAUCCCCCCUAAUGUUGAGAUUGCUCGUGAUGGGAAGAACAAAAAGAAUCUGGACUUGCCUGCUAACAUGGCUGAUGGCGUCAGGAAAAGCUCUAGACUGGAGAAGAAUGAUGAUGUGAAGGUGGCUGACAAAGCGAUUUACAGAGCCGAAGCCAAAGACGCCUUCCUCAAUAAAGGUAUGUGCUCUAACUCCUUCUCCUUACUUGAUUCUAAUAAUGAUGACCUGAUAGAUUUAGCUAAUAAACUUGGAGUUUCUUUGGGUCCCUCUGACUCUGAUAUGAUUGAUAAUUUGGAGUUGAUCAAGGAUCUGGAACGGUCCAGAAAAAUUUUGGCCUUCCAAGCUUGCAAAGAAAAUAUUUCCUCAAGUGUGGAGGUCCCCUUCAUUGUUGAUCACAAAAGUGUGGAUAGUAGCAUCCAUAAUGAGUCUGAUCUGAAUAUUGAUUAGGACUUUUAUGAUGUGAUGGUCUUAAGAAAAGGUAGAAAGAUUAAGCAUCGGAAAAAACCGAUUAAAAAAAAGGCUUCCCCAAAAAGUAGAGGUUCAUCUACGAAAAAACGGGAGCCUGAUUGUUCUGUCCUCCCUCCUGAUCCGUUUUAAAUCAUGAGAGGCCUCAUUUGGAAUUGCCAGGGUUUGGGUCGCAACUCUAAAUUUGAUUUCCUGAGAGAAACCAUUAGGGAUGAGAAUAUUGAUUUCGUUGGUUUACAAGAAACUAAAAAGGUUCAUUUUAAUGACUCUCUUCUGUCCUCUCUUGCUGGUAGCAAGCUCUUUGCCUGGUUCUCCUCUCCUCCUAAUGGGAGAUCGGGAGGCCUGCUUGUGGGGUUUAAUUAUGAGGUUUUUGAUGUCAGAGAAUUUGAAGCUGGUGAAUUCUUAUCUCGCUCCCUUGUCCUCCAUAGAGAAAAAAAUUUUAUUUGGAAUUUUGUUAAUGUUUAUGGGGCUGCCCAAAAUGAGCAUAAAUCCCGUUUCCUCAGUGAAUUGUCUGCAAUGUGUUCGAGAAGUCAGGUUCCUAUGCUUAUUGGUGGUGAUUUCAAUAUUAUCAGAAGAGCUGAGGAAAAGAAUAAGCCUGGUACCCUCAGCAAGUGGAGUUUUUUGUUUAACAGUAUCAUUGAUCAGCAUGGUCUUGUGGAAUUUGAGCUGAAAAACAGACUAUAUACGUGGUCUAACAACCGUAACGAUCCUACCUUUGAAAAACUUGACAGAUUUUUGGCCAGUCCUGACUGGGAUCUUGCUUAUAAUAAUCUUAGUGUUAUUGGGUUAAAUCGAUCCUUUUCGGAUCAUGUUCCCCUUUGCCUUCAUUCUGAUUCCCGGCCCAUGAUGCGUAAGGACUUUCGUUAUGAGCUGUGCUGGAAGGUUAGGCCUGACUUUCACAAUUUAGUGGAAAAUGUUUGGGCUCUUCCGGUUGGUGUGUCCAAUAGUCUGGAUGUUUGGAAGGUGAAAUUGAAACGUCUGCGUCAAAAGCUUAAGGGUUGGAACAGAAAUAUUGUAGGUCAUUACAAAAAAGUGAAGAAAUCCUUGAUUGAGAAAAUUGAUAUUUUGGAUAAAACUAGUGAGACUUCUGGCUUAUCUGAGGCUGACAGGUAUUUGAAAUUAGAUUUGGAAUCUAACCUCAGGAAGAUUGUUAAUGAGGAAAACAUUAGCCUUAGACAAAAAGCGAGAGACAAAUUCUUAUUAGAAGGUGAUGAGAAUUCUAAGUAUUUUCAUUUACUGGCUAAACACAAAAAAAGGAAACUGAAAAUUGUGUCGCUUUCUCACGGUGAUAAUGUGGCUCAUGAUGAUCUUGGCAUUAAUCAGUUGGCGACUUCUUUUUACAAGGAUCUCUUUGGUCCUUCUCAGGGAUCGAAUAUUUCUUUGGCUAAUUUGGACAUGAAACAGCUUGAGGAGGGUGAUAGAGAUCUUCUUACCAGCCCUUUUUCCUUGGAAGAGAUUAAAGAUGUGGUGUUUGCUUUGAAACACAAUAGUGCUCCGGGCCCCGAUGGCUUCCCUGCUGAAUUUUUUCAGGAGUUUUGGGAUGUUAUAAAGGGUGAUUUGUUUAAUCUCUUUAAAGCUUUUCAUGAUGGUUCUCUCAACAUUGAGAGACUUAAUUUUGGUGUUGUCACUCUUAUCCCUAAGGUCCCUGAUGCGACUGAUAUCAAAGCUUUUCGCCCCAUUUGCUUGCUUAAUGUUUGCUACAAAAUCAUCACCAAAGUUCUUACUAAUAGACUGGCCCGGUGCAUUACCUCAGUGAUUAGUGAUCUUCAGUAUAGGUUUAUCAAAGGAAUAUACAUUAUGGAUGGUGUUCUUUCUCUACAUGAGAUUAUCCAUGAAGUUAAACGUAAAAAACAAGAUGGGGUUAUUUUCAAAGUUGAUUUUGAAAAAGCUUAUGACAAGGUUAACUGGAAUUUUCUUCAUAAUAUGAUGCUGAAAAAAGGCUUUGGUGAUAAGUGGAGUGAUUGGGUUUUGAAGACUGUGAAAGGUGGUAAAGUUGCUAUCCGUACUAAUGAUGUGGUCGGGCCCUACUUCAAAACCCAUAAAGGUGUUCGCCAAGGUGAUCCUUUCUCCCCUCUCCUUUUUAAUGUGGCUGCCGAUGGUCUUGCUUGUCUGAUUCAAAAAGCCAAGGAUGAAGGUAUUAUUAAAGGUCUUAUUCCCCAUAUUAUUUCUGGUGGCUGCUGUUGCCUUCAAUAUGCUGAUGACACAAUUUUCCUGUUUCAAGAUGAUUUGGAAAAUGCUAGAAAUUUGAAGUUUAUUCUCUGCAUCUUUGAACAGAUUUCUGGUCUUAAAAUCAACUUCCAUAAAAGUGAAAUUAUCUGUUUGGGAAAUGCUCACAAUAGAGAGCAUUUGUAUGCUGACAUCUUCACCUGUCCUCCCAGUGGUCUCCCUAUGAAAUAUUUAGGGGUCCCUAUUGAUAACAAAAAACUGUGCAAAUCUUUGUGGGAGCCCAUAGUUGGAAAGAUUGAGAACAAGUUGGGUUCCUGGCAAGGGCGUUUUCUUAGUUUGGGUGGUCGGCUUGUCUUGAUUAACAGCAGCCUCACCAAUGUUCCCUUAUACAUGCUCUCCCUGUAUAAAUGUCCCAAAGUUGUGAUGAAAAAAAUGGAUAUCUUUAGGAAAAGAUUAUUAUGGCAGGGAGGUCAUGACCAGAAAAAAUACCAUUUGGCUGCGUGGAAUUUAGUUUGCUCUCCCAAAAAUAUGGGUGGUCUUGGUGUUUUGGAUCUGCAAAAAAUGAAUGAAGCUUUGUUGGCUAAAUGGAUUUGGAGACUAGAAAAUACUAGUGGUUUGUGGCAAUCCAUUAUUAAGAGUAAAUACAUCAAGAACAAGCCUAUUAUUUCUGUGAAGAAUAGACCUUCAGAUUCUCAUUUCUGGAAAGGUAUUCUCUCGGUUCGAGACAAAUAUUUUAAAUAUUGUAAAAAAAUUAUUGGUGAUGGUAAGAGCUCCAGUUUUUGGAAAAACAUUUGGUGUGGUAAUAUGAAUUUUGCAGACAAGUAUCCUAAUUUGUUUGUGGUUGCCUAUGAUAAGGAUAUCACUGUGCAUAAGGUGGUCUCUUCCAACUUUCAGAUGCUGACUUUCAGGAGAAGGCUCGUUGGUACGUUAGGUGAGGCCUACACUGAUCUUAUGGAUCAGUGUAGUCAGACCUUGCUUUCUGAAAAUGAUGAUUCUUCAAGUUGGCUGUUGGGUUGCAAAGGUUAUUCGGUAAAAUCCUUUUACAAAAUGUUAAAAAAUUCCAUGAUUGAUGUUCCUGUGAACUUUCUGUGGAAAUCCAGACUUCCACACAAGAUUAAAGUGUUCUUAUGGUUGGUCAAAAAUAAUAGGAUUUUGACAAAAGACAAUUUGGCUAAAAGGCACUGGCAUGGGAAUAUGGAUUGUAUUUUUUGUGGAUUAUUAGAAUCCAUAGAUCAUUUAUUUUUCCACUGCCCUGUGGCCAGAUUUAUUUGGAGAAUCAUCCAAAUUGCUUUCAAAAUGUCCUCUACCCCCAAAAACACAGCUGACCUCUUUGGUCCCUGGAUCAAUGGUUUUCAUAAAUCUAAAAAAAAUCUGAUCGUUUUCGGAUGUGGUGCUGUUAUUUGGGCUAUAUGGCGCACUCGGAAUGAUUGCUGCUUCAAUGCUAGGUUGAUUGAUGAUCCGUUAAAUAUAAUUUUUUCCUGCUGUUAUUGGAUUGAUGCUUGGUCUAUUCGACAGACAAAGAAGGGAAAAAGACUGGUGGAACAAGGAAGCCGCAGAGUUCGAAAGAUAGCAAGUGAUAUCUACAGCAAGGCCCAUGGUUGGAAGCCGGUUGACAGGCGUCUCCAGUGACAUUUUGCAGCUGUUUACGCAUCUCUUCUAGUCGUGUUCAGCUUGUCUUCUUUUGGUUGAUCAAAACUUGCUGUUCAGUCAUUUCUGGUGACGCGUGGUCCCUGGCUGCUUUUGGGAUUUGUCCUUUGUAGAUAUUCAGUGAUGCUUGUUAGUCUGUUGAACUACUUUAGAUAUGGUGUGUGUGCCUCCAGUUGAGUUUCGGACCUAUAUGUUGCUGAUAUUGUGGUAGGCUUAUCGGCUUGUGGCUGUUGGUUAUGUCGGGUCUUAUGUAAAAACUGUGUUUGGUUCUAUUUCUUAAUGAAAUAGGGGGUUGCCCUCUUUAAAAAAAAAGAUUCUAUUCCCAUUCAAUACAUAUGGACGGCGGGUUAAUUAUAAAGGAGCUUGGGGACUCUUUUGCGAUUUUACCCCGACUAACACUUGCGGACGAACGCGAGCCGUUGAUCGCGGGAUCAAUGGCUCAGAUCUGGUUGAGCCGAAGGGGUAUAUUUAAUCUAAUCUCGGCCACCCACUGCGAAUCCAACGGCAAUCCCCCCUUCUACCCCAACCGCCUCAUCCCCCCUACUUCGGUUGAGAGACCGGCGGCGCCUAGGCCCUCACCACACGGCGGCGCCAUGGCCGGCGUGCGUGCACUGGCAGUCCGCCGGCCCAAACUCCGAAACAGCAUGUUCUACACGAUGUGGGAAUCAUAGCGAGUAUGAUAGAGUGCCUCACCGUCAGUGGAGAUGAAUGCGAGGCUUGGUCGAUGGUGCAGCGCGGAUCCGCCACGAGAUGCAAGUUCCCGUGCACUUCCCUUGAAUUCCGGCCAUGCUCCACGCUCGAGAUGGCUGCGCCCAAGCGCGGGGUGCCCCGGCGAAUCGCCCAGACCGCACGCCGAGCCCCGAGCGGCGAUGUAGGUAGGAUGCCCGUGUGGCGGAUAUCUUUAUCUCUCUCUGCGCUUUUCUCCGCGGCGAUGGCGACUCACGGCAUCGGGUUUUCGUUUUGGAUGGCCAAGGUGAAGCGAGCAUGGCACGAAUUUAUACGCUCGCCGGUCGAAGGGAUAACCACGCGAGUCGCCGUGAUCC